rnacentral:tRNA from 1 species
AAGCGAGAAGCAAAAAUUGCAAUCAGUUUCGACCUGAUCUUAGAUAAAAUACUACUUAUCCUCGCUUU